AUGGAUAUAACUAAGGCCACUAAGCUCGGUAGACUCAAAAAGUUUCAUAGUGAUCAUCUUGACAUGUUUCUGCCACCUGAUAUUGAUAUCCACCGUGAAGAAUUUGUCAGUACGUCUUGCUCUAUUUUUAAUGUUGUUGCGCCUUCCUCUACAUCCCACAUUAAUGGUGAUGAUGACCCCCACUUUUGGGUGGAAUCCAGUGGAAGGAAAGGUUGUAGAAAAUCUCUAUCCACCAGCUUAAAAUGGCCUAGGUUGAUAGAUGUCAAUAUGAACUUGUCGGAGUUCCAGAAGGACCAAAGGAGAAGAUACCACCUGGAGGGGAAGGACUACCAUGAUUGCAAAGGAGAUGAAGAUGUGGACCCAUGA
rnacentral:rRNA from 1 species